GUUGGUGAGGUAACGGCUCACCAAGGCGACGACGGGUAGCCGGCCUGAGAGGGCGACCGGCCACACUGGGACUGAGACACGGCCCAGACUCCUACGGGAGGCAGCAGUGGGGAAUAUUGCACAAUGGGCGAAAGCCUGAUGCAGCGACGCCGCGUGAGGGAUGACGGCCUUCGGGUUGUAAACCUCUUUCAGCAGGGAAGAAGCGAAAGUGACGGUACCUGCAGAAGAAGCGCCGGCUAACUACGUGCCAGCAGCCGCGGUAAUACGUAGGGCGCAAGC
rnacentral:rRNA from 1 species